rnacentral:rRNA from 1 species
CGGAGGGAGCUAGCGUUGUUCGGAAUUACUGGGCGUAAAGCGCACGUAGGCGGCUUUGUAAGUUAGAGGUGAAAGCCCGGGGCUCAACUCCGGAAUUGCCUUUAAGACUGCAUCGCUUGAAUCCGGGAGAGGUGAGUGGAAUUCCGAGUGUAGAGGUGAAAUUCGUAGAUAUUCGGAAGAACACCAGUGGCGAAGGCGGCUCACUGGACCGGUAUUGACGCUGAGGUGCGAAAGCGUGGGGAGCAAACAGG